rnacentral:rRNA from 1 species
AUUGAACGCUGGCGGCAGGCCUAACACAUGCAAGUCGAGCGGAGCGGCGGACGGGUGCGUAAUGCCUACGAAUCUGCCUGGUAGCGGGGGAUAACGUACGGAAACGGGCGCUAAUAACGCAUACUAUUAGAUGAGCCUAGGGCGGAUUAGCUAGUUGGUGGGGUAAGGGCCUACAAAGGUAACGACCCGUACCUGGUCUGAGAGGAUGAUCAGUCACACUGGAACGGAGACACGGUCCAGACUCCUACGGAAGGCAGCAGUGGGGAAUAGUGGACAAUGGGCGAAAGCCUGAUCCAGCCAGGCGGCGUGGUUGAGGAAGGUCUUCGGAUUGUAAAGCACGUUAAGUUGGGAGGCGUUACCUACAGAAUAAGCACCGGCUAACUUCGUGCCAGCAGCCGCGGUAAUAC